CCUACGGUAGGCAGCAGUGGGGAAUAUUGCACAAUGGGGGCAACCCUGAUGCAGCGACGCCGCGUGAGUGAAGGAGUACUUCGGUACGUAAAGCCCUAUCAGCAGGGAAGAAAAUGACGGUACCUGACUAAGAAGCCCCGGCUAACUACGUGCCAGCAGCCGCGGUAAUACGUAGGGGGCAAGCGUUAUCCGGAGUUACGGGGUGUAACGGGAGCGUAGACGGCAGGGCAAGUCCGGAGUGAAAGCCCGGGGCUCAACCCUGGGACUGCACUGGAAACUGUACAGCUGGAGUGCAGGAGGGGCAGGCGGAAUUCCUGGUGUAGCGGUGAAAUGCGUAGAUAUAAGGAGGAACACCAGCGGCGAAGGCGGCCUGCUGGACCGUAACUGACGUUGAGGCUCGAAAGCGUGGGGAGCAAACAGGAUUAGAUACCCGAGUAGUC
rnacentral:rRNA from 1 species